rnacentral:lncRNA from 1 species
CAGAGAUGACAGUAUCCUUGAAUCCUGCUGCUGUCUCUGGUGGAGAGGAUCCUGCUGCUGUCUCUGGUGGAGAGGAUCCUGAUGGGUUUUCUGGGUUCAUACGUUCUGAGGAAAAUGAAGAAAUAAUCAAUAGUUGUAUUAAAUUAUAAUAACUUUCUUACCAAGAGUUUUACUAUCAUUUUCAGGUUUAAUGGUUUUGUUAACAGGUUUUAAACCACUGUUAGUAGAUUGAACAUAAAUGUACAUUUGCAAAGAUUUACUAAAUUAUAAGCAAAAAUGUUACAGUAUGCAGUACCUGAUGUGUCCACAGUGAAUUUUGAUUUGCGGUAUCCACACGUUGUUUGCACACCGAAUCUGAAUUGUUCUGUCAUUGCAGUAGUUGGAGUGUAGCGGCAUGUGAAGCUGUUCUUCAGUUCACAGGGGUCAUUAGGAAAGUCUUGACGACAGAUUACGGAGUCAUUAAUGCUCUCAGGGUAUUGAAACUUAUACCUCACAAUGCAGCAAUUAGUGAACAGCACAGAGACGCUGCAGGUGAGAGAUACUUCUUUCCCCACAGAUCCAGUCACAUUCUCACAGCUUACAAUGACUUCUGAAAAAUAACAAUAUAUUUAUCAGUUUAAUACAUCAACAGUAAACUAAUUUCUGUCAUUUUUCACUUUAAGAAAUUCAAUCAGUUCAAUCAAGUUGAAGUGUGUCGCUUCUGCAACAUUACGGCCACCAAAAGGGACUCCAAAAAUAAUGACUGCUUCCAAACACUCCCCCGUCUGCAACUCUUCAUCUACCACAUUACUCUGGGUCACAUACUGCAGCCGUGUUAUCAAUAAUACAGCAGGUUAAAUUAUCUUUAGAGAAAGUGAAUUAUUCAGAAUGGGAGAAGAAUGUAUUUUCUCACUACCUUCAUCAGCUUGACAGACAGCUGUGAAAGUCCAAACCAGUAUGAACAGCCGCACAACAUUAUCAGCAUUCAUGACUGUUUCUGAAAAAAAUAAGGCAAAUAUUUAGAUCUAAACUGAAGCUUAACCAACCAUGACUAGAGACAUUAGUAGUUCAUCCAAAAAUGAAAAUUCAGCCAUCAUCUACUCACCUUCAUGUCAUUCCAAACCUGUGUGACUUUCUU